rnacentral:rRNA from 1 species
UAAUACGUAGGGUGCGAGCGUUAAUCGGAAUUACUGGGCGUAAAGCGUGCGCAGGCGGUUGUGUAAGACAGGCGUGAAAUCCCCGGGCUCAACCUGGGAACUGCGUUUGUGACUGCACAGCUAGAGUAUGGCAGAGGGGGGUGGAAUUCCACGUGUAGCAGUGAAAUGCGUAGAGAUGUGGAGGAAUACCAGUGGCGAAGGCGGCCACCUGGACAGUAACUGACGCUGAGGCGCGAAAGUGUGGGUAGCAAACAGGAUUAGAUACCCUGGUAGUCCACGCCCUAAACGAUGUCAACUAGGUGUUGGGAGGGUAAAACCUUUUAGUACCGGAGCUAACGCGUGAAGUUGACCGCCUGGGGAGUACGGCCGCAAGGUUAAAACUCAAAGGAAUUGACGG